rnacentral:rRNA from 1 species
CCUACGGGAGGCAGCAGUGGGGAAUAUUGGGCAAUGGAGGCAAGUCUGACCCAGCAACGCCGCGUGAAUGAUGACGGUCUUCGGAUUGUAAAGUUCUGUGAUGGGGGAUGAACACAAUGACGGUACUCCAAUAGCAAGCCACGGCUAACUACGUGCCAUCAGCCGCGGGAAUACGUAGGUGGCAAGCGUUAUCCCGAAUGACUGGGCGUAAAGGGUGCGUAGGUGGUUUAGUAAGUUGACGGGGUAAUUCCGGGGCUCAACCUCGGCGCUACCGCCAAAACUAUUAGACUAGAGUGCAGGGGAGGUAAGUGGAAUGCGUGGUGUAGCGGUGGAAUGCGUAGAUAUUAGGAGGAACAUCAGGGGCGAAGGCGACUUACUGGACUGUAACUGACACUGAGGCACGAAAGCGUGGGGAGCAAACAGGAUUAGAUACCCUUGUAGUC